rnacentral:snoRNA from 1 species
CCCAUGAUGUCUGGGACUGGGCUCUAGUCAUCCUUAAGGACAAGUUUCCUAGAGCCUUGACACCUGAGAGUCUGAGG